GACGAACGCUGGCGGCGUGCCUAACACAUGCAAGUCGAACGGAGAAUUAGCAAUAAUUCUUAGUGGCGAACGGGUGAGUAACGCGUAGACAACCUACCCUUUAGAUGGGGACAACACCGCGAAAGUGGUGCUAAUACCGAAUAUUGCUUGAGAAGCGCAUGCUUUUCAAACUAAAGAUGGCCUCUAUUUAUAAGCUAUCGCUAAAGAAUGGGUCUGCGUCUGAUUAGCUAGUUGGUGAGAUAAAAGCUCACCAAGGCAACGAUCAGUAGCCGGUCUGAGAGGAUGAACGGCCACACGGGGACUGAGGCACGGCCCAGACUCCUACGGGAGGCAGCAGUGGGGAAUCUUCCGCAAUGGACGAAAGUCUGACGGAGCAACGCCGCGUGAGUGAUGAAGGUUUUCGGAUCGUAAAACUCUGUUGUUAAGGACGAAUGUAUAGAUUGUGAAUAAUGGUUUAUAAUGACGGUACUUAACGAGGAAGCCACGGCUAACUACGUGCCAGCCGCCGCAGUAA
rnacentral:rRNA from 1 species